GGCCAUGGGACCUCCUACGGUCUGACUUCCUAUACACGCUCCGAGAUUUUUCCAAGAAGCUAAAUCUCGUGCCUUGUAUAUAUAGGAGACAAAGAGUGAAGCGCUCUCUCUCAAGCUACGUCUUGUGAGCUUCGCUGCGGGUGCGUCGCCGAAAAAUUCAUUAGUUUCUCCCGACCUUGAUCCGAAAACUCACCGGAGUCGGCCGGAAAAUUGAACAAGUUAAAGAGUGAGUCGGAAGCAAGAAAGGCAGAGACUUUUUGUAGAUCCGAUUAAAAUUUCCAAGCUUUAUAAAUA